UGUGGUAGGCGGAUGGUUGGACUGGAUGAACUUGUAGGUCUUUUCCAACCUAGCUAAUUCUAUGAUUCUAUGAAGUGAAGAUGUACAGCAUCCUUUGCAGCACUGGGCAGGGACAGACGCAGCAGCAGCCCAGACCGCAGGAGAAUUGCCCUGCUCCCAGCAAAUCUCCAUCCCCACAGCCGGGGAUGGGGAUGCAGAAGGCAGGACCGCCAGUUCCCACCUCGCACAGGACACCGGCAGUGGUACGGCCUGCAUGGAAGUGACGAGCCGUCUCCUUCCCUCCAGGAUCAGUAGAAGCUACCAAGCUGGUGUUACAAAAAGGAGGCGGCUGACAGCAAAAGAUGUUGGUGAAAGUAAACUCCAGCUUUUCUGCUUGUGCCUAUCAAGAGGCUGCGUGUUGCCAUCCUUCUUUGGUACAGUGCUGCCAAGUGGAAGGGCUCUGCCAGCUUUGUAAGAAGUCUCCUUUCCCAAGUUAGUUGGGAUGUUCUGUCAUUCUGUGGUAAGGCAAGGGUGAAGGGACCCAGAAGGAUCAUGUGUGAUGUUUGUGUUGUGCACUGUCUGUGCAGAGAUUGCUUUUGCAUGGAGACUGUGCAAUGUCUUAUACAGGCCGUGCUCAUUGUGAGAGGGGAAAAAAAAAAAAUGCAGUAUCCAGUCCCUCCUUUUUGGUGUUAAAUCUGUAAGUAUUCCUGUGUUCCAGGAAAUCCUGAAGCCUGGAGAGUGAUGAUGUCUCUGAAGUCUGGGCUGCUCGCUGAAAGCACGUGGGCCAUAGAUACCAUAAUCAUCCUGCUCCUUGAUAACAGCAGCAUCACGUCCUUUGACCUCUGGCAGCUGCCAGGCCUGCUGGAACUCCUGGUGGAGUAUUUCCGGUGCUGCCUGAUCGAGAUCUUUGGAAUCCCAAAGGAAUAUGAGGUGGGAGAGCCAGGGCAAAGAACACCCUGUGAGUUGGAGGGCGGCCUCCUGCACUGGCAGAUUGGUGGCGGAGAUACCACAGAGGACUCCAGACCCACUGAGAGAGCAAGGGGGUGCCCUCCAUGGCUGUGAGCAAUCAAAAUGCUAGGGAAGGGGAGGAUCCUCCAUCUCACAGCUCCUCAACAAGUCUGGAGGACAAAACCCGCCGUAGAGAUGAGACACCCCUCUGUCCCACCUAUGACUGGAAGGGCUCUCUGGCGAAGCGCUGUCUCUAUGUCUCCAACAUCAUCAGGAGUUUGUCGUUUGUGUCGGGCAAUGAUGCUGAGAUAUCCAAACACGCCGGGCUGCUGUGGAUUCUGGGCAGAAUGCUGCGCAAGCAGGAACCCCUGAGCUCUGUGAGAGAGGAGGAUGAGCUGCAACAAGGAGUGGUGGUGGGACUGGCUGCAGGUGCUGCGUGAAAAUACACUGGUCACGUUGGCCAACAUUUCUGAUCAGCUGGGCCUCUCCCCUUUCCCAGAAAGCCUCGGUCUGCCGAUCCUGGUUGGACUCCUCCACUGGGCAGGAUGUCCGUCAGCAGAGGUCCAGGACCCCUUUCCAGCACUGGGGCCAAAUGCAUUCCUCUCCCCUCAGAGACUGGUUUUGGGAACACUCAGCAAACUCCACACCCACGACUGCAGCGUGGAUUUGAUUCUUGCAGCACCUUGUCAAUCGCCUGGAUAGCCUGUACAGCGCCCUGCUGCAUUUCCUUUGCGACAGAAAGUACCCAGUGGGCCGAGAGAUGGCUGUGGUCCUACUGGCCAUCUUUACUCUGGCAGCCAGCCUGACAGCGAGGGCGAUUGCUGCGCACAAGAGGAGCGUUGGCAAAUUGCUGGGCUUCUUGGAGGAAAACCUGGCUGCCGCACGUUGCCAGCAAAGCCACGCCGGCCUGGUGCAUGUGCAGAACUCACCCUGUGAGCCGAUGAGUGUGAACAUGAUGCACUGAGCUGCGCAGGCUCUGCUCGCCCUGGCCAAGGUAGACGAGAACAGCUCGGAGUUCACGCUGUACGAAUUGGGGCUGUCGGACAUCUCUGUCACCUGUGGUGGACUCUUUGGUUUCACAAGUUAAUUGUGAUGCAGUAUUUUUUAAUUGUCCAGACCCUGACAUCUGUGGGAUACGAAACCCUGUUUGCGUGUUCGUGAGCAGUCAACUUAGAAACUGACUGUUGCCUUUGAUUUGCGUACAACCACCUCAGAACCCGCUGCCUGCCCCGCGCUGUCCUGCUUUCUCAUAGGGAAUGAAGUCCUCAUUCCCUUUCCCCUUCUCCUGCUCUACAAAUUUGUCCUGAAUAUCUUAUUAAAGGAGAGAUAGUUCUGUCUACACAUAGGACUUCUUAAUUAAGUCUUAAUUAAAGUCACUGUCGUUUA